rnacentral:rRNA from 1 species
GUAGCGACUCCUACGGGAGGCAGCAGUGGGGAAUAUUGCACAAUGGGGGAAACCCUGAUGCAGCCAUGCCGCGUGUGUGAAGAAGGCCUUCGGGUUGUAAAGCACUUUCAGUAGGGAGGAAGGUAGUGUAGUUAACACCUGCAUUAUUUGACGUUACCUACAGAAGAAGCACCGGCUAACUCCGUGCCAGCAGCCGCGGUAAUACGGAGGGUGCGAGCGUUAAUCGGAAUUACUGGGCGUAAAGCGCAUGCAGGCGGCCUGUUAAGUCAGAUGUGAAAGCCCGGGGCUUAACCUCGGAAUUGCAUUUGAAACUGGCAGGCUAGAGUCUUGUAGAGGGGGUAGAAUUUCAGGUGUAGCGGUGAAAUGCGUAGAGAUCUGAAGGAAUACCAGUGGCGAAGGCGGCCCCCUGGACAAAGACUGACGCUCAGAUGCGAAAGCGUGGGGAGCAAACAGGAUUAGAUACCCUGGUAG